rnacentral:rRNA from 1 species
UUAGCGGCGGACGGGUGAGUAACACGUGGAUAACCUACCUAUAAGACUGGGAUAACUUCGGGAAACCGGAGCUAAUACCGGAUAAUAUUUUGAACCGCAUGGUUCAAAAGUGAAAGACGGUCUUGCUGUCACUUAUAGAUGGAUCCGCGCUGCAUUAGCUAGUUGGUAAGGUAACGGCUUACCAAGGCAACGAUGCAUAGCCGACCUGAGAGGGUGAUCGGCCACACUGGAACUGAGACACGGUCCAGACUCCUACGGGAGGCAGCAGUAGGGAAUCUUCCGCAAUGGGCGAAAGCCUGACGGAGCAACGCCGCGUGAGUGAUGAAGGUCUUCGGAUCGUAAAACUCUGUUAUUAGGGAAGAACAUAUGUGUAAGUAACUGUGCACAUCUUGACGGUACCUAAUCAGAAAGCCACGGCUAACUACGUGCCAGCAGCCGCGGUAAUACGUAGGUGGCAAGCGUUAUCCGGAAUUAUUGGGCGUAAAGCGCGCGUAGGCGG